AAGAACAAGCUAAGACCCGUUCGACACGGCUCCACUUCACUAGUAAAGCUAUUUUUAGAGGCUUAAGCUCCAUAAACAGUUAGAGCCAUUUUGGUAAAUCGUUCGACAAAACAGCUCAUUCCUUAAAAUACUCUCACAGAACACCACUUAGGAUGAGGUGAAGCCGAGAGAAGCCACUAUUUUUGGCACCUUUGCACCGCAAAAGCUCUUAGAUCAUGUUUUUAAGGAGCUUCAUCGGUGGAGUCAUUUCAGUUUACUUCUGUUUGGUAGAAAAUAACUCCAAACAGCUCCUUAAGCCGCUGAAGAAGCCCUGCUAAACAGAGCCUAAAUUUACCACCGUAUUACAAUUAUAUUCUUGUGCAUAUAUGAAUAAAGCUACAAAGCUGCCAAACAGAACCUCACUGGUUAGGAUCAUCAUGAUCAAGAAUCAAUAAAGUUAUAAAGACUAACAAGAGCGAUGACAGCCCCAGGAAUCGAGGAACAACUUAGGGUACGUACGCUAAGUGUUGGCAAGUACAAACCUGUAGCUUAAAUUUAGAUCGUUCUUUGUGAAAGUAGCUUUGCACAGAAUAAAUUCGAUCCGCAGCUAAAACUCCAUUUUGUUUCACGUCUAUAUAGAGUGAAACUAGCUAGCAAGGUGACACAAUAUAAGUUACCGUUUAUGGAGGUUGUUGAUUUAAACAUUUCGAAAUGUCACGCUCUCGAUUAUCAGCAUGUUCAAGAACGAUUGAGCUCACACAUCAUGUGAUACAAGUUCGUUUUAUGUUCAAAUAUAGUUUAGAUAUGUUAAAGUCUUGACCCGUGCCAGCGAGCUGUACCGCUGUGCGCCGAGUUGGUUCAGUGAAUGUGACUCGGGAAGUCCGUGAGCGACGACAAUUUUUCGCUUCAGUGGUUCAGGGUGAUCAUGAUAAGGAAUCGACGAAGACUAAGGACUUCUUUAGUUCGGAAAUCUAGCAUUUUUGUUUAUAUUUAACAAAUAUUAUCCAAUCAUAGACUAACUAGGCUCAAAAGAUUCAUCUCUUCAAUUCCAACCAAACUGUACAGUUAGUUUUUAUUUGUCUAUAUUUAAUACUUCAUGCAUGUGUCUAAAGAUUCGAUGUGACGGAGAAUCUAAAAAAUUUGCAAAAUUUUUUUGGGAACUAAACAGGGCCUAACAAUGCCAACGAUGGCCGCAAGAAAUACAGAAUCGACUCAGGGUAUGCAAAUGCUGCCGAGUACGAACCUGCAUGAAUUUAGAUCGUUCUUUUACAGGAGCAUAUAUAACGAUACUUUGUGCGGAAUAAAUUCGACCAGGACAGCUAGGUGCAUGUAUAAACACCGCAGUAGCAAGCAACCAAUGCCAUUUUGUUCACGCAACAAUCAAUGCAUCAACAGCAAAAAAUAUCGAAUCCUACAGUGCCCACCAUUGUCGCCACUGAUGGUCGAGUGGCCAUGAACGCAGGGUCACGGGACGAGAGGAAUCAUGCCCUACCUUGCCGAUGGUUCAGUCCGAUCCGAACAGUAACAGGGUUAGGAAUCGUCUUUUUUCGUUUCGGGAUAAUAAAGACAAACAGGAGCGUAUGCGUAUCUACAAGCUAGCCGUGUCGUGGCCAGACGGAACCAUACACAUCCUUCUUUGUGUACCUCCGAUCCCAUGACCAAGGGACAUCUGAAAGCAAAAGAACUUGUAGCCUUUAAGAAUACUAUUAAUAAUUAUUAUUGAGAAUAAACCAUACCUACGGUCAAGGGAAUGACUAACCUUGUGUGCCAUAAGGUUGUGGAGGAAGCUGGUAUGGCACAGGCAAUUUCACAAUAGAUGGAUCCUCUUCGUCCCCUUUCCAGCAAAGAGUGACCAGCUUGGUCUUGAUCGUCCUGCCAAUGGCGACGCCAUCCUGAACAUGCAUGUAAAAAUCAAGCCAAAAUUUCCCAGCAACUUUUAAAUGACAGUGGAGGAAUAAUUAGGAAUUACCCGGCUUGAGCGGCUCUUUUCCGUGCAUGAAAAUUGGGGUAUUGAUUGGAGCGUUUGGGGCAAGAAUAAUACACCUAGCUGAAAAGAGGUCAAACGAUGGGACAUAAGCGAUGAUUCUAUGAGGCGUGUGGAUCACCUACAACAGGUAGUAAACUAUUCUUGGCUAGAUUUUAAGGGCACUCACAAUGCAAGACUCUAUCACAGAGUCCAAGACAAUUAAUUACAUAUUAUUUAUGGUAUUUUGCUGAUGUGGCAGCAUAUUUAUUGAAGAAAAAGGUAGAAAAAAUAAGACUCCAAGUCUUAUUUAGACUCUAAGUCCACAUUGUUCGAGGUAAUAAAUAACUUUAGACUCUAUGAUAGAGUCUGCAUUGUGAGUGCCCUAAAGGCUGAAUAGUGUUCCUUGUUACAAAAUCUGUAAUCCUGAAUGUCCAGAAAGUAUCAUGAAAAACGAAAGAGGUAGUACCUCAUAUGAGCGUAUCAUUAGCUGUGUGUUGUUCUUCUGCAGAGCGCCCCAAGCAGCUUUGCUUAAAUUUGAUGAGGUAAGCAGAAACCAUCUGAUGGGAAUAGACAAGAGUUUUAGAUGAUGGUUGUCAUACAGAGUUAUUCCCUGGAAUGGAAUGAGGUCACAUGAAAACUUACGCGAUGUUUUGGCCACUGUAACGAGUAAAAGUUUUUAUGUGAGGCAUAGCCCGACUGGUACAGGAAAAAAUCAAGGUCAGAAUGUUAGUCCAUGACAACAGUAAGCAGCAUUGAAAGAUUAAGAAAUGAAAAGGAGGGCAAUGCUUUUCAGGCCAUAAAGCAUAUAUGCCCACUUGAAUGUACUGAUGCUGUUUGGUUUACCCAGAGAUUAUUGACUGCCCUGUUAAGUAGGAUAAAAACACCUGGCCUCAGUUAUAGUCAAGGUUUUUUUUUAAGACCUACUACACUACAGAAACAUGUUGACUUGAUCAACCUUCACAAAAUGUCAGAACAGCAGGGCCAGAAGAGACACCUUCACCAUUUCUAGGCCCUUUUACUGAUACUGCCCCGUUGGCCACUCCUCAGUAAAGAAAUAUUUUUGUAGAUAAGCUACACUUAUGCAGGAUGUUUGAAGCCUUAGGCACUUAAAAGGUCCUGAACACCAUGUGCCAGUCUUUCAAUCAUGGCUAUGCCUUAUGCUAUUCUGUAAGUGGUAAAAAAAACACGGUGGUGCAGUGGUACAUGCAUAAUGGGCCAAAGUCUGCUAUAUAGCAGCUUACUGGGGGUAUAACGUUCAUGUAAUUACAUUUAAAUAAAAUCAUAGGUUUUCAGGUAACUACAGGAAAAAGAGAGCAUACCAGCGACCUACAUGAUCCGCUUUCCACCUGGACCAAUAUUUCUUCAAGAAGUCUUUCUCAACAUUCUUUUGAGGGCUUGGAAUGCAACUACCAGCUGCAUAACCCUAAUAUGAAUAUAAAACAGAGAUAAUAGUGGGAAAAUAAGAUAGAUGAUACACAGGUAAAUAUGAUAGAUGAUACACAGGUAAAUAUGAUUAGUAAAAUUCAUAUCAUGUAUCUAGCAAGCAUUGAUCAGAGUGAAAUAUUAUUAUGUCUAAAUGUAAAAUGUUCAUGAGGCCAGUACAGGUCCAUCUUGGAAUAUAAGAACCUACUACUUGUUUUAAACAAGUUGUUUACAUGUCAUGAUGUCAAGACUCACAAACACAGAUCUGGGCGUGUUUGGUUGGGACCCUGAGCGAGACAGCUAUGGCCAGGCAUCCAUCUCAGCCCCAGGCGCGGAAAAUCCAAUGCCUGGGAAUGAUGCCUGGGCCAGGCAGCUUCGACCAAUCCACAACCAAACAAGCAAAUACAGCAUGGAGCCUUCUGCUCAUUAUAGUUUUGUAUGUUCACACAUAAAGAAGAAUGCAUUUGAGCUUAAGUUUCUUCUACCUCUAUUGAGCACCGAACAUCCUCCACUGUAGGCCAGACAAUCAGUGGUUUCCCGAUUCCUAGCUGUGAUCCAUCAUCUGAUUUACCAGCUGACAGCGAGCAUGCAAAUUCACUCAUCCAUUUCUCAUCAAGUGACCCCAGGGAAGAAAACUACAUCCAAGAAUGAACAAAUGGUAAGCAUCCUACAAGUUCAAAUUGAAAGGUGAUAGAUGAUAAUACAGAACUUUUUACUAAAUAGAAAGGAUCCAGAAGUGUUAAAUAGGAAUAGUACCACAUUGUGUAUCCAGAUAAGGUGUUAGUCCUAUGUACCCUAUAUAAUCAGCCCAUGAGGCCCAAUGCAAUAUAUCAAUCAAUACCGAGACAUAUUCUCUCUCAUGGUAUCAUUCGCCUAGGUUUAGAUUCUAACCCUAGCCGCCGCCGCUUCCGCACUGCGCGCCCCCGGGGAGAGGUCGAUCUCCGCCGGGGGCAGCGCCCCUCUUUAGGCGCCCGAUCCUAUUGAUCCGGCUGCCAUCGUCGUCGUCGCACAGCAGAUCGGGAUCUCCCCUACGUCAUCGCCAGGUUGCCGCCACUGCCUUGUCCCCGGGCCCGUCGCCGGCUAUCGCCAUCAACACCUGAUCUUCAUCGCAUGGAGGCGGAUGGAUCUCGCCCCGUCCCGUGCCGCCGUGGUGGCGGCCAGGGCCGGCCACACGCCUCGACCCUACGCUGCCAAGGAGGCAGCCAGAUCUGGCGUGUCGCUAUUGCUGAGCGGAUCUGCCCAUCUCCACCUCGUCGAUCUGCGUUGGCGCCUUCGACCCCGUGUGUUCGUGACCCGCCGUGCGCCUUGCGCCGCCCGAUCGGGACGCACCGCUGCCGUCGUGUCGUCUUGCUGGGUACACCUGAUCUGCUGCUGCUGUAUUUUUUUGGUUUGCCUGAUCACUGAUUGGGAUUGAGUCGCCCACCGCCCGUCGACCUCGCGCGUUCUACUCCGCCAUCGGCAUCGACUUCAUCGACACCGUCUCCGAGUACUACGUGCACCUUCUCCGAGCAACAGGGCUGUUGUUGUGUCGCCUCAUCGGGCCACAACAUCGUUGUCCGUGUGUACGCUUCGUCGUUGCAUCUCCAUCGCCGUCAUCUGUGCAUCGACGACUGUGCUGUGCAAUCCCUGCUGCGCCAUCCGUCUGCACAAGGUCUUCGUCCUGCUGAUUGGGUCUUCGUCAUCGAGCUGCCACUACCCACGUCGUCGUUGAGACCUGCUCGCCGACGCGUCUUCUCCCGCAUUGCUUCUUCUUCGUCUAGCACAACCACACGGUUGAGGCCCUCUCCCUUGUACGCUUGGUAUUGGCAACACUGACGCGUGCUUUCGUCCCCGACGCGUUGCUGGAUCUGGCACAUCUAGCUGCGCCUCGGCGCUCGGGCGACUUGACUGCAUUGACUUCGGCAUCGACCCUCCCGUUCCUACCCCGUCUGCCUCGAUUGCGUCGUCGCCCUUCUUCUACGACGGUCCUGAUUGCAUCGACUUCGGCAUCGCCCCCUCCCACGACGACUGCCUCGACGCGUCUCUGUCAUUACCAUGGCGCCCCUUGUGUGCCUGCAGCUCCAUCGACACGCAACACGAUCACAACUACGUCGACCUCGGCCAUCUUCAGCACGACUUCUUCGACCACGGCUACUACAUCCUUACGCUCGGCUACCUCGACAUCGGCACAAAGGGCUACCGCCUUGCAUGAGGACUCAUCGGCUUCUUCUCCAGCCACAGCUUACGCGGCGCAUCGACUGUUAUGACUACGGGGAGAUGUUACUUAUCAGCUUCUUCUCCAGUCUUACCGUCUGUAGCGCUCCCGCUGUGACUGUGGGGGGAUGUUAGAGUAAAUAGGAAUAGUACCACAUUGUGUAUCCACAUAAGGUGUUAGUCCUAUGUACCCUAUAUAAUCAGCCCAUGAGGGCCAAUGCAAUAUAUCAAAUAUUCCACCAAUUAUAUUUUCCUUCAAGAAGUUCUAUUUUUAAGGUGAUAAUAGAUAGUUUCGUACAGUCGUACCAACCCUCCAUUGAAUACAUUCCUAUGCAAGCAACAAUGAUCUGUUUGUUAUAUGCUUCUUUGUUCAUCAUUGCAAUAUUUGCAGUUUUGCACAGCUCAUUGGAUGACAUUAGUAUGCUACAAAGUACUCGAGUGGCUUUCAAGUUAAAGCUGUGGUAGAAAUACUGUCAAGGCACAAGUUUUGUGUCAAUAAUUUUUAUUCCUUAAUUUCAAAUAUCUACAUAUUAAAGAUCAAAAGAUUAGUUUUACCACCAUUUUUUUCAAAGUUGCAUGCUCUAAAAAUGAAUAAAUGAAAAAAGGUACCUGAUAAAUCAAAGGGGACUUGCAAAAUUGUUUAUUGAACGUGAUUUCAUCAAGAACAUUCCUAAGCUUCAUAUGGCCCCACUUUCUAAUAUUGGGGCCCACAUGAUAACCAGGAACCGAUCCAAUCAACCUGACCUGUGAAUGAUUUAAAUCAAUUAAGACUGACAAAUAAUGGAUAAACUAGCAAAAAAGGAUGGGUUAAAUGUGUGUUUAUGGACAGUAGUGGACCAAAAUGGAUGUAGCACACUUUUAUGAAUCAACAUGGAAUUUAUUCCUCUAAAUGAAUAUUUUGUACUAUACACGGCCAAAGCAUGCACUAAAUAACUGAAUAUGCAAUUCAUUUGGCAUGAUAAGGGCCUUGUUUAGUUUCAAAAUUUUUGGCAAAAUAAGCACUGUAGCACUUUCGUUUGUAUUUGACAAAUAUUGUCCAAUCAUAGACUAAUUAGACUCAAAAGAUUUGUCUCGCAAAUUACAGACAAACUGUGUAAUUAGUUAUUGUUUUUAUCUAUAUUUAAUGCUCCAUACAUGUGCCACAAGAUUCGAUGUGACGGGGAAUCUGAAAAAUUUUGCAAAAUUUUUUGGGAACUAAACAAGGCCAAGCAGUUCAUCAAUUAAUGCACAUAAUAACAAAUUCAGUGCCAAUAAACACAUGAUUAACAAACUGCCAUGUUUCCAGCGUUUAUCAUUCUAUGCAUAGAAACUUGCCAUAACACUAAAUGACAUUUUGACAGAAGUGCUAACUUCAUUGCAUGUGACAAAUAUUCUCUUUGGUUAUUCAUUUCAUUUCCAUGUCAACCUAGUUGAGAGAGAAAACAGGAAACUAGUCAUUCAGCACUGCAUGCAAGUUUGAAGCAACUUUGAGGUUCAAAUUGUACUAACCAUUGAAUUUCUAUAGUCAAAUUUCCUAAAGAAUGCUGCAUUGAUGUUGACAUCACCAACCUCGGGGAGAUUUACGCUGAACUCAGGCCACUGCAUUGUCAUGAAGUGAAAUUUCACUUUACUACCUAAAAUAGAUAAUAUGAGUUCAAACAAACUGCAACUACAGGGGAAACAAACAGAUUGUAUAAGGCAAGAAGUAGCAAAAAGAACAAAAAGAGGGAACUAACAUAAUCUAGACAAUUCCAAAGAUUAUGCUAGGAUGGGUUGGAGAACAAGAAUGGAACUUAUUGCAGAAGAACAUCUUUAAAAGAUAAGCCAGAUUAUAUCUUGUGAUCAUAGAAACAUUCUUUAACUUGUUGAAGACAUCUUCCAAGCAUGCUUUACUGCUUAUAACAACAUAUAUGACAAGGGCCAUCUAUAUGUUCCAAAAAUUCAUGACUUCCACUCUGAAAAAAAAUUUACAGAGUUCCGUAUUUUAAUAUUCAACAGUAUUUAAAGUAACGGUGAAUUUCCACUUCCUUUUCUUCAAGCAAUCAUUCAGCUGUCUGGAAAGGCACAAUAUUCAUAAGCUAUUUCUUUAAUGCAAACUUUUUGUUGAGUAGUUGAGUGCAUCAAAACACAAGUUAUUGUGUCAAUUGGAAGUGUCAAAAAAAUACAAAAAAACAUUAUCAGCUUCUUUUCCUUCUGACAUGAUAAAAAAAAUGACAGUUUUAAAAUUUCCAACGAUAAUUUUUAAGACCUCAGCCUGUUCUUGGAAGAUAUGAAACUUUGGGAAUUUGCUGGAGUCCAUAAACUCCAGGAUCUAGGACUAGGUCAGGUUGAGGGCUAGUUUAAAGUAGCUUUGCUUUGAUUGUGUCCUUUUUUAUUUUCCAGUAAUUGUAAUAAUUUAUGUAAACCUGAGCCUCAACCCCUUUGUUCUCCUAAGCAAGACAAAGUGGGUUGUUUGUAUUUCUUUCUCCUAUUACUAUAAAGAUACGGGUCUCCUGUGUGUUUGAGCAAAAAAACAAAACAUAACCUAAAAAAAACAAAUUUUAAAAGAUUAACGAUAGGCCAGAGAAAACACCCUGUUACCUUAAGUGCACUGAGAUAAUCAACUAGAUCAUUCUCAAAGGGAACUUUAUUAUUCAUAUCAUUUGUGUCUUUCCAGGGAAAAUCUUGCAUCCAUAGUCCCUGACUUUUGUAAUUCCAGUCAACAUGUAUCAAAUUUGCUGUGUGCACAACAAUUCGAAUUCCUUGAGGAUAUACAAGCAACAUGGCCUUAGAAUGAUGUGUUCCAAAUGAAAUUGGGAGUGGAGGUUUGUGGAGGAUCCAAUUUGCAGGCUUCAGUUUCUGUCAACCAAUCAUGAACAAGAGAAUGAGAAAAUGAAAGUAAAGAUUACAAACAGUUUUUCAACAUUUUGCAACCUUCAUAAGCUCUAAUGAAGCACCAUCUUGUCCAUGUAGAACCAGGACAUGUGGAACCUUCUUCAAACUUGGACAUGCUGCACGAUGGGUAUCUAAUUAGUAUUAAAUCAAAAAUCAAUUAUUUAAUAAUGAUAAAGGUAGGACAUUGAUAUAUCACUAUGUAGCAUAUUGAACAUAAUAAUAUCAGCACAACUUAUAGACUUAUAAUUGCCUAUUCAAUUGACUUUUUCAGAAGCAAAAUAUAACAGUGAUUGGAGCAGCUAAGAACCACAGGUGGGAAGAGGUUUUGUGGUAUUUGCAGUUCAAACACAGGCAAAUGCACUGUGUUUGAAAGAAAUUAACCACGUACACUAUAUAUAAAGGCAAUCUUCAUGUAAAGGCUAGCCUUGUACUGCCACAUUCCUAACUACUAUUGUAGGCUCAUGUGACACAACAAAUAACCAACUUCAGAUACAUCCCUUGCUCCCUCAAGUACAGUAGCCCAGCACAAGCCUCCAGGAGUCCAGGGUCUGGGCAUCAGCUCCGGCAUCCAAUGGUACCGCAACCACUACUUGUGCAGUUGGACUCACAGUUAGCUUCAACUGUACUCACUGACAGCCAGUUGAUGUGUCCAAAUUUCUAACCACUCACUUUCUGGCCAGUUCGCCAUCCUCAUUAUCAAGCACUACCUUGAUGGUGCUAGACUUCCCUUUAUUGCCAUCCUGCCACAUCUCCAAACGCCCAGACUCCAGAUAUGGACAGGGGCAAGCUCCUAACCCCACUAUCCAUUUAACUUUCUUGAAUUCUAGUUGAUUCUGUCUCUCGUUUUUCCAGAUAGGUAUCUGUAGUCUCCUUACAUCUAACAAAAUGUUAAUAUCUCAUUUAAAACUGUUGUUAAUUGAUUAAGAUUCAGAUAUCUGAAGUGGCUGCGAUAUUGAUUGGUCAAUCUUCAUUUGAUUUAAGAUCUCUGAAUGAUCCCGGUUUCAGGGCUUUGAAUGAUGGAAGCUAAAUGGGUGUACGCAUGAUUGCAAGACAAGUGUUAUCGACCUUUUCUUGAAUACAUCAGCACUGUUCGAAUGGAAGCCAAGAUGCUCUAUGGGUUUGCAUGGAAUAAUAUUUCUAGUUGACUUUGCCUGGCUGUAGUGGAUUACUCUUAAAGUUAUGUAUCUGUCUGGUUUGCACUUCCAUCAGCUGCAUAGUUCACUGUUUAGUGCCCUGCUGUCCUUCUAUAAGAAUAAUAGGCCCACUCUUUGGAGAUAAUGCAUAAUGUAUAUUAUUUAACUUGCAGGCGUUAUUUCAUAGUUCAUACUCGAGAUAGAACUCAAAUUGUCAGCUGGCUAAACAAAAUGACACACUGCCCGAUCUGGAGGAAAGGGGGAAAAAUCUAGGAACAGAUGAUUUUAGCUCAAAUCUGACUAUCUGAGUUUGCAACUAGUACCUGGAGACUUGCUACCACACACUUAAAAGUCAUAAAUAUGAUAGUCCACCAUAGACAAAGCAUUGGGAGAGAAUCUAUCUGUAGUGAAGCUAAGUAAGCGAAAAAUGUGGCGAUUUACAGUAAAAAAAAUACGAGACAUGUUCAAAUUCAAACUACCACCAAUAUAUUGAUGUGCAGUACAAAUAAAACAUUUGGAAAAUAUAUUAAGUUGAACAAAUGUGUUUCACUAUAGAGCAUGAUAACAAUAUAUACCACAUUGCCCUAGCACAUUGCUUCAAUGUUUCAUUUUUUAUACGAACACAAGGUUCUCUUUUAUUUUGAAAAAUGAACAGCUAACAAUUUGAAAAAUCAGCUAUUUGGAAAAUAGACAACUGUAUACACUAACAAAACUUACCAGUAAGCAACCAGUCAAUGUCCACCAUGUAAUUUGAGAGUACAGCAAGAAGCACUUCACCCUAAGAAUCCAUUCAGAUGUAACUGUAAGAAGUAAAAUCUACUAUACUUCUCAGUGAAUUAGGCAAUGUAAGCAUAUAGCAUUUCUUCAAGGGAACUGGUUCUGAAAUAACAUGGAAUAAAGGCCCAGUACAUUAUUAAAUACAAUAACAUGAAAGAAAUGUGCAGUACACCAGUAAAUAAUUGAACAUUGCAGCACAGAAGUGCUUUUUUUUUUUGGUAUUUGCAUCACAAAGGUUCCGCUUGAGCACAGUGAAUCAGUGAUGGUAACCAGAGCAUAAUGCACAAAAGUUUUUUCAUCCGCUAUUUAAAAGGUAGGAAUUGGUUCUUAUGCAACAGUUACAUCACUAGCAAACGUUUAUCUUAACAGCACUGGCAUGUUGAAUACUUGAAUGAGAUGAAUUGGUCAAACAUAUUCUAUCGAAGAGUUCAUGCUGGAUAAAUGAGCAAGACCUGAAUGACAUCUUGAAUGCUAACUGAGGAAGUGUUAGUCCAUGAUGGAAGACCUUGGACACGCAUGAGCCGAAAAGUCAAUGGGAGCAUAUCUUUCAAAGGACCAAUAGAGUGUUUUCUCUCAUUAUUUCUUCCAGAAGAACCAGCACUGUCAUGUGAGCUUAUUUUUUGGCCAGAAGUCAUGCCAGAAACAGCUGUGUUGUCUUCCGCGAAGCUUUCCUGUUUAGAUAGGACACAACAUAAUUUGAUGGUGCACUGUGAUUUUACACAAGGAAAGCCAAUCUGCCAAUACACAAGUGAACUCUACUACUCAGCAAGGAAAGGUGCACAGAGCACGUGUAUGCACAGAAAGGAUCAAAUUAUCAAUCGUAUUCCGAACACUAGGAUUUACACUCAUGUGUAGUGUAUGAUUAUGGUAGAAAUCUUUUUUAUUAAAUUUCCUUUCCAGCCUUCAUUCAUUACUCCACUUGCCACUUUCAUUCUGAGUUUAUACGAGGAAAAAUAGAAAACUGUCUGUAAGGUGGAUAAAAGGGAAAAGGAACCACCAUACCAUAGCUCAAAGUCAUCCAUACAUGCACUCAUGUUUCAUUGGAACUUUGCAGAGCAAGAAAAAUAAUGCAUAAAAUCCUAUAUUACAAAAAAAAAUUUGGCAGACCUAAUAUCAAGAUUCAAGAUAUUCAUCAUUGAACUUAGACCUAAAACAAUAAUAACUCAAAUACACCCAUUGUGACAUGUUAUUUCAGGCUGUAUAACUUUAUUUCUGUUAGCAGUACCAGUAAAUAAAAAAAUAGCUCCUGAUCUAUAUGGUUCCAACAGUUUCAGAAUAACUGCUUCUAGUUUAUGAACACAACAAAGGGAAUAGCGGAAGUAAGUAAGCAUUGGCAAGUCCCUUGUUUUUCAAGCUUGCUACAUCUUUCACUAAGAGUCUAAGACUAGUUUUAGGGUUAACCAAGUACUGCCCCAAUUAAGCAGACACUCAAAUCAAUUAAAUUCAGCUGAUAACAAUAGGAAAACACUCCAAAAUAAUUAUCACUAAUAUCAUGUAUUGUCCUGUUGUCAAACAAACAAACAGUACACGAAUGGAUUGGAAAGAAAAAUAGAACGUUAGCUAACCUGUAGUGUUCUUGCCAAAGCCUCAUCUUCCAUAAUCUGUCUAUUCCUCUUGACUGCUGCACUAUCUUCCUCACUAUGCCUCUUACCCUUCUUUAAGUCGCUCAAAUGCAUUGGUACAGAAAUUUUAUGUUCAUCACCCAUGUCCACAUACUUCACGAAAUAGUCACCAGGAAUCAGUUCCAGGACAUCACCGUGUGCAAUCUUGGCUUUCCCUGUAGCACAAACCUUCCUCCUCUGCCCAUUCGAUCGCACCAUUAUAGGGUUUGGACCUUCCUGAAAAUCCAUUAACAUAGAACUUAUACAAUUUCUUAUUUCUGAAUCAAAUGCCGUUGAAAUACAAUGAUGUGGCACCAUCAACAAUCCCCACAUUUUUUCAUACCACUACUACUUCAAUGGAGCCAUCAGUGGAGGCGUGGAGGCUCAGAUGCUUGCGGCUGAUCCUCUUGUCGACGACAACCAAAUGAUCCCUCCCAACUACAUUGGACCCCUGGAAUAUGGGAAUGUUUGAUACAGAUCCGUUCGAUGAGCCAGCAUUGUCCUUGGUAAGAGGGACUAGAGUGCCAAGCCUCACCUAGAAAACCAAGGCACCGAAUAUCACUUUAAAUGAAUGCAGCACAUCGUCUUAUUUCUUAAGAGUGUUAUGAGUAGAAGGAACCCAUCCAACCGCAAACUUUCCCCCCGAUACCGGAUAGUGUGAUGGACCAGAGAAAACAGAGAUCUCGAGAAAACAUGAUUCAGAGAUAAAUUGCUACACUAGAUUUUGCGGAGAAGAAGGAGAGGCUGUGGCUUACUCGAGAUGCGGAGGCCAUGGUGGGUCUUGGAGAAGGGGUUUGAGUCUAAACCCAAAAACCUAAACUCUAGGAGAGGAGAGAGCUCGUCACUGUGAAAGAGAUGUGCAAGACGAUGGCGAAGGCUGUAACACGCGGGAAGUGGUGCCGUCUUCGAAUCAUUCCAUGAGAACCCUGUUGAACAUCUGAGUUCUACUCCUCUUCAAGUGACUGAGAAUUUGCAAGUGAUCAGUCAACAAUGAUUGACACUAGAGAUUUGAAUUUGGGGGGUUACCUUACCUGAGGUCUCCGGGCUUACAGAGGUCGCCGGGAGCUCGCCGGCCCGGCGGUGGAUACUGGAGGCGCGCCCAGCGGGUGGCGGGAGACAGCGUUUGGGCUGUGGCGGUGGCGGGACGUCGAGCGGUUAGCAGCGUCGGAGGCCGCGGGAGGUUCGCAGGCGGUGGUGGCUGGCGGAGGCGUCGGGCACUCGGGCGUCGAGGAAGGACGACGGAGGCAGGCGAAAGCGAGAGAUGGGCGCAGAUCUGGGCCGUUGGAUCUAGAUCGAACGGCCAAAACGGUGACUCAUGGCGAAAAAAAAUCACAGUUUUCUCAAAAAAAAAUCACAGCCCACAAACUUUCGCAGUGUCGCUGGCAAAGCAGAAGCCCAACUAGGCCCAGACGAGCGCAAGAUUCAGCCCGAUCAGGCACGUAGCUUCGCCCCGCCACGGGUGGAAACGAAACCAACGCCAAACCGUUUAAGCACUCCCGUCCGUCGUCCACCCACGCGGGCGAACAGUGAAAGGCAUCUUCGUCGUCUUCUUCGUAUCGUAUCGGGACCGCUGGGCUCGCCGCCGCCCUCAGCCUCAGCUUUCUAGAUAACGGAACCAAGGUCCCCAGCCUCUGCAGCUUUUUGAUAACGGUACCAAGGCCCACCAGCCUCUCUGCAUAUGUACUUGUACACGGCCUCUGCUAGCUCGAUGAUUGGGAGCGCCAAGCCGCUCGCAUGGGCGCCGCUGCAGGCCCGCCCGCCGUCGACCGCCGGUCGCCGCCUCGCCCCCUCGUUCUGCGCCCCUGACACCGCCCCAGCUCUCCAGUCUCAGUCCGACGACGGCGCGCCGCCACCACGCCCGGAUGAGACCGCCACGUCCCCCGCGCUGCUCAGGAGCUCGCAGCUCAGCCGCUGGUCCAGGUCACGGGGGCUGCGGUCGGGCCGCCGUGUGGGGCUGGACCGCGCGGCGCUCUCCUCGGCCUCGGCGCCGCCGGUGACCAAGCCGUCGCGGCCCGAGGACGCUGCGGUGGCGGUGGAGGAUGGCGAGGACGACGACGACGACGUGUGCGAGGCCGAGAGGGACGAUGCGGCCGGGAAGGCCAUCUACAUAGUGUCCGACGGGACCGGGUGGACCGCGGAGCACUCGGUGAACGCCGCGCUCGGACAGUUCGAGAACUGCAUCGCCGACCGUGGCUGCGCUGUCAACACUCACCUCAUCCCCUUGGUAAAUAUCUCGCCAUGCCUUCAUAUACUUUUUAUUUAUUUUUUGCUGGAAGUACGUUCAUGGUGUGCUAAACUGCUGACAGAGCGAGUAGUUAUCAUGGAAGAUGUCCUGUUUUGUCAUCUAACUAUCGAAUUAGCCAAUUAGGCAGGGUUCCCUACUUCCCUGCAAUUUUUGGACUGUACCUGUAAAUUUCUAUGAUGCCGCAAGUGUAACUGAAUAAUUUGAAUGUGAAAUGCUAAUUUGGAGAAAUGAAAUUGAGGAAGAGCCAGAUUGCUAGCUUUACGGAUGGAAUUUAACAACCUGCUCUGUAGUAAUAUGUGCGCUAGUAUGAUCUUUUUUCAGGUUGAUUAUAGUACGACUCCUAUCAAUUUACUGUGCUAUGCUACAGCUUCUCAGUUCGAAGGAUAAUUUUUUUUUGUAAUACUGAAAUUUUAUGUUUUGCACACUUUCUUUGAGUGAAGAUAAAUUCACAAUCUCCAAGGGUAUGCAUAUGGAUCAUGUACUGGGGAUGACGGUAGAGGCAGAAGUUUUGUGCAAAUUCAUAACUGCAAGGUUGCUUCAUACGUGUCUAUUUAUUUUGUUCGUCAAAAUUUUGUCUCGGUCUUGUAGGUACAUUAAGAAUUGUUUGCGCAGUAUCAGGUAGUUGGGAUACUAGUUAUCAACGUAUAAUAUGUAAUUUAUCGCCAUGACUAUUUUUUUUCUUGUAUGUUUAUGUUGAUCAUAUUGUUGGAGAGAAAGCAGAUGUUUGUCAUAUUUUCUCUCAGGAAAAUCCUGACUAGAUGCAAGUUGUCCACUUUUCUACCUGCUUUGGCUUGAAAAAUGAUAGCUGCACAUCACUUCUCAUAAUGUUCUGUAGAUCGACAGCAUGGAUCAACUUCUUGACGUAAUAAAGCAAGCAGCAAAGGAAGGGGCACUGGUUCUAUAUACCCUUGCUGAUCCUUCAAUGGCAGAGGCAGCUAAGAAGGCCUGUGAUUUCUGGGGUGUUCCAUCCACUGAUGUUCUUCGGCCUACAGUUGAAGCCAUUGCUUCUCAUAUUGGUGUUGCUCCAUCUGGAAUUCCACGAAGCUCUCCUAGUCGAAAGGGUCAGCUAACAGAGGAUUACUUUCAACGGAUUGAUGCUAUUGAUUUUACCAUCAAACAGGAUGAUGGGGCUCAGCCACAAAACCUCAAACGUGCAGACAUUGUACUUGCCGGUGUUUCACGUACAGGGAAGACACCAUUGUCAAUGUAUCUAGCUCAAAAGGGAUACAAGGUAGCGAAUGUGCCAAUUGUGAUGGGAGUGAAACUUCCAAAGUCCCUUUUUGAGAUUAACCAGGACAAGAUUUUUGGAUUGACAAUAAACCCAGUGGUUCUUCAAGCAAUUAGAAAGACUAGGGCCAAAGCUCUAGGUUUUGCUGACGGGUAUCAGAGCAAUUAUGCUGAAAUGGAACACGUGAGGCAGGACCUGGCCCAUGCAAAUCAAAUUUUUGCUGAAAAUCCAAGGUGGCCAGUCAUUGGUAAGUCAAGUUAGUUAUAUUCAUGAAACCUUUUUCUUUGUUUAAAAACAUGCUUUGAUACUGUUUUCAUGCAGCGGUCACUGGAAAAGCUAUAGAGGAAACAGCUGCUAUCAUUGUGAGGAUUCUCCAGGACAGGAAAGAGAAGUGCUCCAUGCCACGCAUAUCAAAACGGUACUAGCAUUUUGUUCUAUCCCUUCUACUACACCUUGUAACGUGUGCAUGUUUUGAUAAGCUCCUGUAAAGCACCAUGUAUUUUUGUUGGACCACCUUCUGGGUGGCGUUUGUAUCUUAAAGAUAACUUGACGUUUAGCGCAGUAGAAACGAAUGUAUAUUGCAUUUACGACCUUCUGUCGGCCUCACUUUAUUUGGUCAUUAGAGAAAUUCUAUGCCAGGUAAAAUAGUAGGGUGAAAUGCCUUUGUGCAAAGAAAAUCAGAGUAAUAUCUCCUGCAGGAAUCUCAACCCCAUGACCACAAAACUUUUAGUUGUCUGGGUGGCAGGGACAAAUCAUCACAUGUGAACCUGAAUAUUCUAACUUUCCUCAUGCUUGGAUGCUCACAUUUGUUUUUUCAAGUACUCGCCCAUAGUAUUGUUUGAUUUUUUUUGGUUAAAAAAUACGCACUUUUGAAUUAGAUAGGCUAACCUUUCCCGAAAGGAGUUCAAAAUGUAUUCGUACCCAAUCUAAAGAUCAGAUGCCUUCAGUUUUUUUUUUUUUUUGUUGAUUUUCUUUUGCUGUUUUUUUAUCAAGUCCUGUUUCUGUUUUUAGUGUUCAUUUAGCUUGAUAGAUCUUGCUCUUUGGUCCCGAUGCCUUUACAACGACCGGAUAAUGUGAAAUGUUGUUUUCUACUCUUUCUAUAUUUUUUCUGGUUACUGUUCUAAGUGAGCAUCUUGUGGAUGUGGUUGAAAGUACCAGGAUGAACUUUUUUUUUUUGAUAAGAGGAUGAACUUCUGGUUGUAUGUAUGCUUGGGUUCCUCGAAACAUUGUUGUUGUUAGUGCCACAGUGCAUAGAGUUCCUCAAAACGCCACCGCUGUCCGCUCGAAGGGAAAGCAAUGCAAAAUCGUUUGCUCUGUGACGAACAGUGAAAGGCAUUCUUCUCGAGACCGACCGCUGGACUCAACGCCGCCCUCAGCCUAGCUCCACAAUGAUUGGGAGCGCCAAGCCGCUCGCGGUCGCGGCGCCGUUGCAGCCGCCGUCCCCCGCCGGUCGCCGCCUCGCCCCAUUGUUCUGCGCCCCUGACUCCUCUCCAGCUCUCACCCGCGCCGUCGAGAGCCCAGGCCAAUCUCAGUCUGACGGCGCCCCACCACCACGCCCGGAUGAGGUCGCCUCGUCCCUCACGCGGCGAGCGAGCCCGCAGCUCAGUCGGUGGUCCCGCUUGCGAACGCUGCGGUCGAACCGCCGGCCUGGGCUGGACCGUGGGGUGCUCUCCUCGGCCUCGUCCUCGGCCUCGGCGCCGCCGGUGACCAAGACGUCGCGGCCCGAGGACGGUGCGGUGGCGGUGGAGGAUGGAGAGGACGACGACGUGCCUGGUGGGAAGUCCAUCUACAUAGUGUCGGAUGGGACCGGGUGGACCGCGGAGCACUCGGUGAACGCCGCGCUCGGACAGUUCGAGCACUGCUUCGUCGACCGCGGCUGUGCUGUCAACACCCACCUCUUCUCCAUGGUAAAUAUCUCGCCAUGCCUUCAUAUACUUCUUUUUCCUUUUUUGGCUAGAAGUACGUUCAUGCUGUGCUAACUGCUGACAGAGUGAGUAGCUAUCAUGGAAGAUGUUCAGUUUUGUCAUCUAAUACCGAGCUACCCAUUAGGGGGCCUGCAAUUUUUGGACAGUAGCUGUAAAUAUGGAUGACGCCACAAGUGUAACUGGAUAAUUGAACAUGAAAUGCUAAUUUAGAGAAAUAAAACUGAGGAAGAGCUAGAUCUUCGAGGACAAAUCAUUGACUGCUAGCUUUACGGAUGGAAUUUAACGCCCUGCUCUGUACUGAUAUGUGCACAAGUUUGAUCUAUUUUCAGGUUGAUUAUAGUACAACUACUAUCAAUUACUGUGCUAUGCUACAGGUUCUCAAUUUGAAGAUAAUUUAUUUGUAAUACAGAAAUUUUAUAUUUUGGACGCUUUCUUUGAGUGAAGAUAAAUUCACAAUCUCCAAGCGUAUGCAUAUGGAUCAUGUACUGGGGUAGAUGGUAGAGGCAGAAGUUUUGUGCAAAAUUUAUUUUAUUGGUUUUUGUCUGGGUCUUGUACGCACGUUAAUAAUUGUUUGUGCAGAGGCAACUAUAUGUAUCAGGCAGUUGGGUUGUUGGGAUACUAGUUAUCAACGUAUAUGUUAGUUUUUUUUGUCUGUUUGUGUUGAUCAUAUUGUUGGAGAAAAGCAGAUGUUUGUCAUAUUCAGAAAAUCCCGACUUGGUGCUAGUUAUCCACGUUUCUACCUGCGUUGGCUUGAAAAAUGUUAGCUGCACAUCACUUUUUAGUAAUAGGCUGCAUCUUUUGUAAGUAACAGCUUUUGAUAAUGAUCUGUAGAUUAACGACAUGGAUCGAAUUCUUGAGGUAAUAAAGCAAGCAGCAAAGGAAGGGGCACUGGUUCUAUAUACCCUUGCUGAUCCUUCAAUGGCUGAGUCAGCUAAGAAGGCCUGCGAUUUCUGGGGUGUUCCAUCCACUGAUGUCCUCCGGCCUACUGUUGAAGCCAUUGCUUCUCAUAUGGGUGUUGCUCCAUCUGGAAUUCCACGAAGCUCUCCUAGUCGACCGUGUCAGCUAACAGAGGAUUACUUUCGACGGAUUGAUGCCAUCGAUUUUACCAUCAAACAAGAUGAUGGGGCACAGCCAGAGAACCUCAACCGUGCAGACAUUGUACUUGCCGGCGUUUCACGUACAGGGAAGACACCAUUGUCGAUAUAUCUAGCCCAAAAGGGAUACAAGGUAGCAAAUGUCCCAAUUGUGAUGGGAGUGAAUCUUCCAAAGACUCUUUUUGAGAUCAGCCAAGACAAGGUUUUUGGAUUGACAAUAAACCCAGUGGUUCUUCAAGCAAUUAGAAAGACUAGGGCCAAAGCUCUAGGUUUUGCUGAUGGGCAGAGCAAUUAUGCUGAAAUGGAUCAUGUGAGGCAGGAACUGCUCCAUGCAAAUCAAAUUUUUGCUCAAAAUCCAAUGUGGCCAGUCAUUGGUAAGUCUAGUUGUAUUCAUGAAACCUUUUGUUUGUUAUUUCUUUAUUUAAAAACAUGCUUUGAUACUGUUUUCAUGCAGCGGUCACUGGGAAAGCUAUAGAGGAAACAGCUGCUGUCGUUGUGAGGAUUUACCUUGACAGGAAACAGAAGUACUCCAUGCCACGCAUAUCAAAACGGUACUAGCAUUGUGUUCUAUCCCUUCUAUUACACCUUGUAAUGUGUGCGUGUUGAUAAGCUCUGUGUCAAGCACCAUAGCCUUUAUGUUUUUUUUUGUUAGACCACCUUCUAGGUGGCGCAGCAGAAACAAAUGUAUAUUGUAUUUACGACCUUCUAUUGGCCUCAUUGUAUUUGGUCAUUAGAGAAUUUCUAUGUCAGGUAAAAUAGUAGGUGAAGCCUUUGUGCAAAUCACCAGAAAAUUAGAGUAAUUAUCUCCUGCAGGAAACUCAACCCCAUGAUCACAAACCUUCUAGUUGUCUGGCUGGCAGGGACAAAUCAUUACAUGUGGACAUGAACAUUCUAACUUUCCUCCUGAACAAGGAUUUUUCAAGGCGCUCAGAUGCUCACCUUUGUUUUUUCAAGUGUUCGCCCAUAGUAUUGUUUGAUUUUCUUUGGGUUAAAAUAUACGCACUUUUCAAUUAGAUUGGCUAAUUUUUCCUGAAAGGAGUUCAAAAUGCGUUUGUACCCAACCUGAAGAUCAGAUGCCUUCAGUUUUUUUUGGCUGAUUUUUCUUUUGUUGUUUCUUUACCAAGUCCUGUUUCAGUUAUCCUGUUAGUGUUCAUUUAGCUUGAUAGAUCUUGCUCUUUGGUCCCGAUGCCAUUAAAAUGACCGCAUAAUGUUGAAUGAUGUUUUCUACUGUUUCAAUUUUUCCUGGUUGCUGUGCGAACUUAGCAUCUUGUGGAUGUGGUUAAAAGUACCAGGGCGAACUUCUGGUAGUAUGUGUGCUUGGAUUUAUUAUCUGAUGGACCAGGAACAACACCCUGAAGUGAGAUACAGACAUCCUCACUCUGAAAGUCUGAUUGAGAUGAAACUGUAGCGGACUCAAGAGCUGACAUAAGGAUCUUUGGAAUGGUCUUAAGAUAAUCUUUACUACUUGAUAUGUGUUUCCAUUUGAUAUAACUACAUAGAAAUAGGCUAUACUCGCAACGACUGAGUGAAAACGAGUUACCUGAAAGAUACAAGGCUCAACGCCGGACCAACUGGUCUAGCGGGCUCAUAAACGGUCGUUUGACAUGAAACUUUUAGCAUUAAACUGAGUAACUUAAGAAAUCCGUUUGUGUUGUUGCAGGGUGGCUCCAGCUCUAGUAACACUUAUAUCGAGUAUCACAAGGUCUUUGCUACGGAGCGUAAAGCUAUUAAAUUUGGCAAAUUUUAUCUAAAACUAGCUGGCUAGAUUAGAGUAAGUACAAUAAUGAUCUUAUAGCUAAGUAGACGUUGACGUAGAUGAAAGAAGAGAGGAGAGCUUAACUCUAAUCCAAACAAUAAGCUGGGCUCGAUGCCUAUGUAACGGUGGGUCCAAAUAUCAAGUAAAUAUGAGGAGGAUUAGGAAAGAGAAGGUAAGAUUCGUGUGAAACUAACAAUAAAAAAGUUUCUUAUGAAUGAUCUUGACUCUUACGACUUGGCUAACAGCUAAAAUAAUGUUGGACUUUGCCACAGUGCAUAGAGGGUCUCAGAUCAUCCCUUGUGAUUCACAUCAUUCUUUACUUGUCCACUGCAAAAAUAAUGGAGUUUUCCUAGUGUUUUAAACGGUAAUAAGAACACUACACCAGCCUAGCAUAUGAGAAUCCUCACUAGAAUAUAUUUAAUAGAGAAAAGCUCGUACUACAUGUUGAAUACUAACAUUAGGAAAAAUUCACGUCACUAGAAUAGGCUGCAGAUUCUGGUCAUUGUUCAUUGAGGUUAGAUUUAGCGAAGAUAUAUAUGUACCAGUGUUGAAUAAAUGGCAUCCAAGCAAAGACUUGGAUAUCGCUGUUAAGAUACGUAUCGCAAUUUGUUUGGUUGUGCUUUUAGCAUCGUGGGGGAAUAAAAAUCCAGUAUUAUUUGUUACCUUGUUAAGUGACAUGUAUCCCCUUUCUGAGAAAAUUCCAAAAAAAACAAAAGAGAGAGGGAGAAUAAAAGAAGAAACAAAGAUGUCUACCAUCACAAACUUCUCCAUCAAAAAUCCCCAGCCGGGUCGAUUUCUUCGCUGCCGUAGUGUCGUUCUUCCACGCUGGCCUUUCAGAUUCACGAAGCGCUACUCCUUUCUUUUUAUAUAUAUGCUGGACCACGGUAUUCUUCUCAACAUUUGCAGGUUUGAAAAUUCUUAGGUCAAGCUUUCACCUAGAAACUUUUUGUCUCAUCACAUCAAAUAUUUAGACACAUAUAUGAAACAUUAAAUAUAGAUUUAAAAAAUAACUAAUUAUACAGAUUGUAUGUAUUUUACGAAAUAAAAUUUUUAAAACUGAUUUAUCCAUGAUUAAAUAUUAAUUACUAUAGUUACAAAUAUAUUACACUAUCCAAAAAAUUUUCUUUUCAACAAGACCUCGCGGGAAAUGCCCCCUUCGCUCUCAACGGCCGGCGUUUCACCGGGCAUUCUGCCGCCACCACUACUGUAGUCCGCCGAUAGAAUGAAGUAGAGGAGGAUCAGCGUUUCCACGCUGGACCUAGAAAAAUCAGACAAAUCUUUUAACCUUAAUUUUUUUUAAAAAAAUCUAAAUUUAAUAUUAUUAUUUUUUAUUUUUAAAACUAACCCAUUUGACCAUGUCUGCCAUGGUGGACAACGAUUUUCAUGUGAAAAAACCUUGCCGUGCCAUUCUUAAGGUGCAGAAGCACUAUAGUGCCGCGUUAUAGUGUGGCAAAACACAACUUUAAAAUAUAUAUUUUUUUCAUAUAAUUUUGGAUAAAAAUAGUCGUUAUAUAAAAAUUGUAUCUCUAGAUGAGAUUUAUAACUUCUAGCUUUGAGGCCUUGUUUAGUUCAAAAAAAUUUUAAGAUUUCCCAUCACAUCGAAUCUUGCGGCACACGCAUGGUGCAUUAAAUAUACAUAAAAACAAAAACUAAUUGUAUAGUUUAUCUGUAAAUCACGAGAUAAAUUUUUAAAGUCUAGUUACUCCAUGAUUAGACAAUGUUUAUCAAAUAAAAAUGAAAAUACUAUAAUGUCGAAAUCCAAAAAAAUUUACGAACUGAACCAGUCCUGAGUUUUUUUUUUAUUGGAGCGUGUCGACGUCAGGGUCGCGUACGCGCAUCCGCUUCGCCGUGGGGCUUCCCCACGAUACUCCAGCCCUCUCCUUCCACAUCUACCUCGGUGAUUUCCUCUCCCGCAUCUUCCCCUCUGCUGGCCGUGUCAUUGCCAACGCCGACACGGGCGUGCCCGCUAUCGACUGUGACAACGCCGGCACGGAGCUCGUGGUGGCGCACGCUGAGGUGAGGCACCAACCACCUGCUCGUGGACGGCCACGGCCUGCCGGCGUUGCCCAACGCGUGGGCGGAGGCACGGAGAUACUCUGCACCGUCGUGCACCGCAACUACGUGGAGUCCGCCACGACGUCGGGUGUGGUGGACACGCGCCACCUGCAGCUAGCAGCGCCACCAUCUCCUCUGCGGCAAUGACGGGGGCUGCUACAGUCCCGUCCAUUCGGACCGAGACCACCGUCCGGCAGCUUCCCGCCUAUUUUUCCCGCCUCUUGUAUCACAUGCAAAUUUAAUUAGCAGCUGGCAGAGGUAGCCUACGGUAGACAGAGGUAGCAUGCAUAAAGCUAAAGUUGUCAUAUCUAGCUGGCCCACCACAAUCAAUUCAGCCUUCAGCUCAUGCACGUGAUUUUUAACGAAACAAAAAAAAAAGUCAUAACUACUAAACCAAAUAUUAAAACUAAAUUUCGAUUUGACCAUCGAGUUCCUUACAAUAAAUCCUUCAAAACAAGAUCUCACAUGAAUAUAUUUAGAUAACUUUUUUUAACGAACAUUUAUUUUAUAAAGAUAGAACAUUUUUAUUUAUUUAUCAGAAAUGAUGUUCUAUGUUCAAAAAAAUAAUGUUCUAUCUUUGUAAGAAGAGUGUUCGUUCAUAAAACUGGUAUUAUAAUAUACAUAAAAAUAAAUAUAUAAUAACAUAAAUAAAAAUAAUAAAAUGUAGAGCAAAAACAUAAGACAAAAAAAUAAAACAUGUUAUAGAAAAAAAUUAAAAGAAUAUCACAUAGAUGCUUUUUAAACAUCCUAAAAAUAUGCUAUAGAACACCACAUGUAUACUAAACGAACAUUGUUAGAAAUACCAUAGAACAUCAUUUAAUGCAUUAUAGAACAUCACAUAUAUAUUAUGUGAACACUAAUAAAAUACAUCACAGAACAACAUAUGUGUAGUAAGUGAACAUCACUAAAUAUAUCAUAGAACAUUACUAAAUAAAAUAUAGAACAUCACAUAUAUUAUGUGAACAUUACUAAAUACAUCAUAGAAAAUAAAAUGUAUAUUAGGUGAACAUCACUAGAUAUAUCAUAGAACAUUACUAAAUACAAUAAGAACAUCGCAUAUAUAUUAAGUGAACAUCACUAGAUAUAUCAUAGAACAUUACUAAAUACAAUAUAGAACAUCGCAUAUAUAUUACGUGAAUAUCACUAAAUACAUACCACAGUAUUAUAUGUUUAGUAUGUGAACAUAAAAAACACCAUAGAACAUCUCGUUUAUAAUUAUUAGUAAAGAAACAAAGAACAUUACAUGCACAACAUGCGAGCAUCAAAAUAAUAAGAAAAUAAAAAAAAUAAAAGAAACAUAAAAUAUAAAAAGUUAAAAGAGUAUUAAAAAACAUAAAACAAAAAAAUAGUGAAGCAUGAAAAUAUAAAAUAAAUGAAAAGGAAAAACUAUAGAAAACAUUAAGUAAAAAGAGAACAAGAAAAAGAGAGAAAAAAGAAUAAACAUAAAAACAAAAUUAAAUGAAGUAAACAAAAAAAGAAAUAUGAAAACAUAAAAAAAAUCACAUGAAACAAAAAUAAUAAAUUGAAGCAAGGAAAAAAAAUAAUAAGAAAAGGAAAGGAAAGAAAAUAAAAAGCAAAAGUAAAAAAUAAAGAUAAACAAUUUAAAAAAUGAAAAGAAUAAUAAAAACACAUAAAACAAAAAAAAAUAAAAAAUAAAUUAAGCACAAAAAGGAAAUAAAAAGAAAAAAUAAAUGAAGCACAAAAAGAAAAGAAAAACCAAAAAAAGAAAAUGGCACUUCGCCCAUACGCCCAAAAACAUAGGUUAGCCCAUCGCCCGUGGACGGCGGUCGCGAGACGGCAACAACAGUUUGUGGAGACACAAGGGCUAAAUAUAGUAUAAAUAAAGAAUAAUAAUAAUAAAUUGAAUGAAAUAAAUACAAAAAAUAAUAUCGAUCCACGCGCUUGUAUGUAGAUUUUUUAGUUUUUCUCUAUAUGUAACUAAUAUCAGUCUACUAAAAGGAUUGAACAACUACUACCCAACAUGAUCAUCCAGAGGCAUUUGUUGUGCUUCCACCGCAUGCAUACCGCAAAAAACGAUCCAAUAAAUACCUUCAUAACUAACGCUAUAUUAAUGUGUUGGUAAAUAAAACAAAAAAAUAAUAAUGAAGAAAAGAAAUAGAAAGUAAUAAGAAAAUAAAAUAAAAUAAAUAAAUUGAAGCAGAAAAAGGAAUAGAAAAAUAAAUAAAGAAAAUAAAAAAGUAAAAAAUAAAGAUAAAAUAAACAUAGUAAAAUAAAAAUAAGAUAAACAAAAAAAGUAAAAGUAAAAUCAAAUUGAAGCUAUAAAAAGAAAAUAAGAAAAAAAAAGAACAGAAACAAAAAAAUAAAGAAAAUAAAAAUACCAAGAAAAAAGGAAAAGAAACAUAAAGAAAAAGAAAAAAAGAAAACUAGACAACAGCGAAUGAGAGGGAAAAAAUAAUAAAGAAAAAGAAAAGAAGAUAAAAUAAGGAAAAAAGAAAAAAUAGGAAACAAAAAGGAAAACAUACGCACCUGGAUGAAAACCGUCGCCCGUACAUGCGAGUAGCAGCUGCUCGCGUCCACACGCGGGAACAUCGCGCGGGAAUCAUCGGACCGAGACUCCCGUCCGAACGUUCGGACGGGAAGAAUCCCGGGCAAUGACAGUGUCCAGAUUCUGCAACAAUGACAAGCGUCAUCCCAGAUUAUGCAGACAUCCGCCAUUGCUUACUGAUUCGUGGAUGUCUUGCGAACACAGAUAUUGCCACGGGUUUUUUGUUACCUGAAAAGCAUGUUGUUGCCUGGACACUAGUGUCAUCGCCGGAUAGGGAAUGCAUAGACAUACCCAAAAUGCCAUCCUGCUAUAUUCUAGGACUCCUUGCUCGCCGCGGAUUCGUGAGGCGCUGGCCAGGAGCCCGUCGGCCGCGGGCGUGCCACCGUGAUGGCCUGGCUGUGGGGGGCUGGAGGUGGAGCGGGCGCGCGGACGCAGCGAGGCGAGGCGAGGCGUCCGUGGCCCGUGGGUGGGCUCGCGGCCUCGGACUAACGGAGGAGGCGAGAACUUGACGUCCGUAUGUAUUCGUGUAGACAUACUUGUGUGACAGACCCUUAUACGCAGCAAGUGUAGAAAAUAACAUGAAUAAGACAUAAAUAAAAUUAUAAUGGUAAAACUUUGAAUAGAUAAGCGUUUUUCUAAACUCAAAGAAUUGUAAAUUUAAGCAUCUUACUUAUAGAGGAGGGAGGAGGAAGCGACGGUAGGGCGCAGAUCUGAGCCGUUGGCUCUAGAUCAAACGGUCAAAACGGUGAUCAUGAAAACAAAAAUAACCAAAUCACGGUCUACAAGCUGUCGCUAGGAAAGCCCAAGUAGGCCAAGACGAGCGCAACAUCCAGCCCAAUGAAGCACUUGUCACCGUUUUCCCUCGCGGCCCGCGAGCACCGAUUUUCCUUUUCCCUUCACGUGCCGUUUCCGUGACCACUGACCACACUCACAGAGUUUUUACUCUGCACCGCGUGGCUGCAUCGCAAAAAGAGAAGAGGAGAACCUCAAAGCACAAAACACUACUGUACUGGUACUUCAGUAUUAAUAUUGCGUUUGCUAUUGCUUCAGAAAGUCAGAAGUCAGGAGCAGCGGGCGGGUUCUGUUUACUUCCACCCAAAAACUCAAAAUUUUUCAAGAUUUUCUGUCACAUCGAAUCUUUAAACGCAUGCAUUUAGUAUUAAAUAUAGAUGAAAAACAAAAACUAAUUACACGGUUUGGUCGGAAUUAACGAGACGAAUCUUUUGAGCCUAGUUAGUCCAUAGUUAAACAAUAAUUACCACAAACAAACAAAAAUGCUACAGUGUCGCGAAAUUUUUUUCUUUCGUCAACUAAAAAGGCCGACGCAACGAGCUGUAUGCCUCUGCAUACUGUACAUCCGGAAUUGGAGCGCGUGCCAUAACGAUAAGGUACGAUUCCGUAUGUGAGUAGGCAACCAAUCUAGGCGUUUAAUUCCAAAAAAUUUGCAAAUUUUUUUAGAUUUUCCGUCAUAUCGAAUCUUUAGACGUAUGCAUGGAGUAUUAAAUAUAGAUAAAAAUAAAAACUAAUUACACAGUUUGGUCGUAAUUGACGAGACGAAUCUUUUGAGCCUAGUUAGUCUAUAAUUUAACAAUAUUUGUCAAAUAUAAACGAAAGUGCUACUAUUCCUAUUUUGUAAAAAAUUUUGGAAGUAAACAAGACCCUAUUAUAUCUGAAGGAGAAAUCCGAAAUGGCCAGGAAGACCAAAAUUAUCCGAGGUUAUCGUCAGUGCCCCGCUCGUCCCUUCCACUCGAUAUCCGAUAUUCCGGACGAAAAAGAUGUUGGUUAUUGUAAGGGUCUAAAUGGUUUAGUCACUUUUAGCAAUUUCAGAGUUGCAAAAAAGGACUAAAGCCAUUUUAGUCAUAUUUAGUCAGUAUAUGGCAACAAAGUGACCAAAAGUAACUAAAUAUAACUAAAUUUAGGAGCUACUAGAUGAACCAACUGCUUCCUAAAGCUCUGUAACUGAAAGGAAAACAGAUACAUGUUAUGACGGGGAGCCCAAAAGGAAAAGAUGACGUGCGAAUGCUGGAAGGCCCGAAGUCUAAUCACGGCACAGGCAAUAAUAGUGCGAGACAAUGGCGAUAGGGAAGACGGCGGAGCAAGAAAAUGGUGGGGCGAGAAGCACUGGCGGAACCAGGGGGUGGCAAGCAGGGGCCGUGGCCACCCCAACACUGUAGAAAAAAAUCAAUACCCUUGAAGAUUUUCAAUUUAUAGCACAUCAAACCGCCAAUUCAUUUGUUUUUUUAUCAUAGUAUUAUGACUUUUUAUCAUGAAUACAAACUACAUAUAUAAAAAUAUCAAAAUAUUGUUGAAAAUAUACUUAUAUUUAUAUUUAUCAUGUUUAAAAAUGUUAUUAUAUUUAUUCGGCUCUCUUUAAUCUAAAUUGUUGGUAAGACGGCGGCGCGACCUUCUUAGCAUGGUGCAGUCAGCUCCUUCCUCGAUUUGCCCCAACCUGGUUGCGCAGAUUCCGUGAGACGACGGCAACACGAGAUGCUACGGUAGACAGAUAGCGGAGUAGAGUUGUAGGAGCGGUCAAUAAGAGGUGGAGUCACGUUCGUGGUACGGUGGAGUCGUAGCUCUUACCGAAAUUUUGUAAAAUUUUUCAUAUUUCUCGUCACAUAGAAUUUUAUGAAAUAUUUAUUGAGUAUUAAAUAUAAAUUAAAAAAUAAUUAAUUAUAUAAUUUUUCUGUAAUUUGCGAGAUAAAUCUUCUGAGACUGGUUAGUCCAUAAUUAGACAUUAUUUGUCAAAUACAAACAAAAUUUCUACGGUGUUCAUUUUGCAAAAAGAAUUUACAACUAAAACGAGGCCUUGGUGGUUGGCAAGGCGAAAUCUACGGUUGGAGCCGCCGCAACUGAAUUCAUAUAAAUUUAGUCAAAAUUUAAACCGUUUGAUUUCUAAAAAAGCGAUAACUACAAUAUUUUAUGGACAGAGAAAGCAGAUAGAUUGAAAAAUUUGGUUUCCAGCAACUCUUUAUCUUAACUCCUGACCUCUCGGCACUUGAAAAAUCAACCUAGUCAUGAGGACAAAUAUGCAUGCAUAUCUGUUGCCCAAUUUGAAGGUGGAAGUACACGAAGAAGAAUAAAGAGUAGAAUAUGGUUCCUGAAUCCUGACGUAGAUAUACAAGAGACAAAGAAAAAAAUAAAAAUGAUUAACAUGGUUUGUAUAUUUAUCAUAUAAAAUUGUCUUGUAUAUUUUACAACCGUGAUUUUUGAAGCUGUUGGAGCAACCUAAGAAAUAUGCUCCUAACUUUUCUAGGCACUUGAAAAACACAUUGAUUUACCAAUUGCUUUUUUUAGAAUAUUGGAGAUUCUCUUACGAGAGAAGAAAAAAGAUAAUAGAAAAAAUAAAUAUAGGGGUAUUUUGGAUAUUUCACCCUUUUAACGAGGGUCUUGUUUACUUGCAAAAAAUUUAUAAAAUGUGAAUAGCAGCUCUUUCGUUUGUAUUUGACAAAUAUUGUCCAAUUAUAGACUAAGUAGGCUCAAAAGAUUUGUCUCGCAAAUUACAUGCAAACUGUGUAAUUAGUUAUCUUUUUUAGGCUCUGUUUAGUUCCCCACCCAAAAAAAUUUCAUGCAUCCCAUCGAAUCUUUGGACACAUGCAUGAAACAUUAAAUGUAGAUAAAAAAAUAAACUAAUUACACAGUUUGGUCGAAAAUCGCGAGAUGAAUCUUUUAAACCUAGUUAAUCCAUGAUUAGCCUUAAGUGCACAGUAACCCACAUGUGCUAAUGACAGAUUAAUUAUGCUUAAUAGAUUUGUCUUGCAGUUUCUAGACGAGCUAUGUAAUUUGUUUUUUAUUAGUUUCUAAAAACCUCUCCCGACAUCCUUCCGACACAUCUGAUGUGACACCAAAAAAUUUUUCAUCUCCAAUCUAAACAAGGCAUUAUCUAUAUUUAAUACUUCAUAUAUAUGUCGUAAGAUUUGAUGUGACGGAGAAUCUGAAAAAUUUUACAAAAUUUUUUGGAACUAAACAAGGCCGAGGAGUUGCUUUACUAAAAGUUUUACCUCAACAGUAUAAGGCCACAGAAAAUUGUUUCAUCGGAGAAGCUAUAACUUAAGCGGUUUAGCUGAAGUUAGAGCUCUACUAAACACGCCUUAAGACUGCACUGCAAACAGGGUAUUCGCCCCAGCAGGUCAUCACCAGUUCACCACCCAUGGUUUGUCGUCGUGCGUCAGCACUAAUGCUGAUUUGGGAAUUGUUUACAGUUUUCAUUAUAAAGUCAUUUUAGCUUUUUAUUAUUUUCUGAAAAUGAACCAAAUGAACUUAAACUUAUAAAAUGCAUAAUAAUAAAUCACACAAGUACAUAAAAAGGUAAACCGAAUUUUGUUAAGUUUCUAUAAAGUAGAUCUACAGGUGAAAAAGAUCAUGAACCGAGGCUUAUAUUUUCUAUGUAAUUACAUUUGUAGAUUUCUUAAUAUGAUUGUUUAAACCUGGUAUAUCUGUUAUAAGAAAAAUAACUACAACUUCUUCUGGAAUAUAAGAGAUUUUUCUAUUCUCUAUAUUUUAAAAAAUGACUUGAUAUUUAUAAGUUUUUUUAUAUAAUUUCUAUGAAAUUUCUAAUAUAGAACUAGAAAGGUUGUGAUUUUUUACCGUCUUCGUUCUAAAAUAAACGCGAUCUUCGAGAAAUCAAGCUCUUUUAGAUUCAACUAGUUAUACUAAAAAUAAUAUUGACAUUUAUAUUUUUAAAUAAGUUUAUUAUUAAAAUUACAUUUUAUAAGUAAUAUAAUAAUGUUUAAUAUAUAUAUAUAUAUAUACUUAAUUUUUUUUUAAAAAAAUGAGGUUUCCAUAGGAUGUUUUGGGAGUUUUUUUUUGAAAAGGAAAACAUGUUUCCUUAUAUUAAACAGCUCCUGGCAACUCGCCAGAAACCAUUGAUAAUACAAAGUUCGGUGCUUGGUCCAGCCACAAACUAGACUCACCGGCAUCUAAGGGCACUCACAAUGCAAGACUCUAUCACAGAGUCCAAGACAAUUAAUUACAUAUUAUUUAUGGUAUUUUACUGAUGUGGCAGCAUAUUUAUUGAAGAAAAAGGUAGAAAAAAUAAGACUCCAAGUCUUAUUUAGACUCCAAGUCCACAUUGUUCGAGGUAAUAAAUAACUUUAGACUCUAUGAUAAAGUCUGCAUUGUGAGUGCCCUAAGGCAGCUCCAUAAGAGGCUAAUACAUCAGCAAUUGAAUUACAAUCUCUGGAGCACUUAGAAAUUUUACAACAAAGAAAAUCAAAAUUCAUUCUAGUCUUAAUCUCUCUGAAGAUCAUCCCCAAUUCAGAACGAUCAUAGCUAGUAGAUGUCAAGGCCGAAGCCAAAAUUUGAGCGUCAGUUUCCAGAAGCACAUUCUGCAUGUCAAGAGAAGAAGCAAGUUGUAGCCUCUUUAGACAUGCUAGACUUUCAGCAUGAAGGGCAUUUGAUACGUGAUGUAAAGAUCCAGCCUUGGCAGCCAUGAAUUCACCUUUAUAUCUUGAAUGAUACAUCCCCAGCCUCCCUUUUUAGUGUCCUGCAUAAAUGUGCCAUCACAAUUUAUCUUGUAGAUGUUUUCUGGUGGUGGCUGCCAUUUUUGUUUUUGGAAUGAAGGCCUGGGAGGUGGGGGAGGUGAGAAAAGCUUCAGCUUCUCCAUAUUGACAAAGUGAUAUGUAAUAGAGUUGCAGAUUUCUUCAGUGGAUCUUCGACUUCUCCCUUGAUCUAAUUUAUUACGAUCAUCCCACCAGCACCACAGCAGUAUGACUACUUUCAAUUUUAUUUCUUCCUUGAGAGCUAGGAUGCCAUCCAUUACUUCUGUAGCUGACAUACAACCUGCCAAUGUUAAUCUCACAUCUUCCAUAUUCAUACUUCUCCAGCCGGGAGUUGGGACUUUUUUUUUUUUUUGUGAGCAACAGCCGGAGCUUCAUUUAUUCAUCAUGAACAUGGUUACAAUCAUUGUUUGCAAUAUCCUGUAGAGCCGGUGGUGGUACAAGCCACUCCUCCACCGGUCUAUCACGAGACACCAAUUUAGCACAUUCAUGAGCUAGCAAAUUACAAGUUUUACUAGAAAACACAGAAACAAAUUCCGCAAAACUCCGGCUUAGAUCAUUGAUUUGUUGAAGCAGUGGCCCAACCUCAGAGUUAUGACGUGAGGGAUGCUUCCAUAGAUUCACGAGUACCUGACAGUCGGUCUCCAAAAUAAGUCGAUGUACCCCCCUGUCAAUGGCGAACUGAACGCCAUCACGGCAUGCCACCGCCUCUGUAGCCAAGGCGGUAAGACAGUGGUCAUACCAACGCGCCUUCCCUCCGCACGGUCGCCGGGAGUUGGGACUUGGGACUGCUCCAGGCGGCCACUUCAUUUGAACGCUACGACUCGAAUAUGCAUGUAACCAAUGUAGAACAGGAAUGCUAAAGGACAAAAAUCCGCACGCAGAUUUCCCCACGGGCCACGGAUGCCGAGACGGAUUGGUGGUCCAUGGUCCAAUCCCGUCGGCGUGAUGGCGUUGGUGUCCCAUGUUUCGCGCGGCCACCUGACCAAACCGCCCCCGCGGCCGCGGCCUAUAAUAAAUAUCAGCGCUGUCUUGAAAGCAACGCGAAAUCGUUUCCUCUGUAACCACUGCCAUCCGUCGUCGUCCUCGUCCACACACGCCACGCGGGUGAACAGUGACCGCUGGACUCGCCACCGCCCUCAGCUUAGCUCAAUGAUUGGGAGCGCCAAGCCGCUCGCGGCGCCGCUGCAGCCGCCGUCCCCCACCGCUCGCUGCCUCGCCCCCUCGUCCUGCGCCCCUGACUCCCCCCCACCUCUCACCCGCGCCGUCAAGAGCCCAGCUGCCCAGUCUCAGUCUCAGUCUCAGUCUGACGCCGCCCCGGCCCCGCCACCACCACGCCCGGCUGAGGCCGCCGCCUCGUCCCACGUGCUGCGCGCGAGCCCGCAGCUCAGCCGGUGGUCCCGGGCGCGGGCGCUGCGGUCGGGCCGCCGGCCGGGGUCGGAGUCGUCGGACCGCGCCAAGCUGUCCUCGGCCUCGGUGCUGCCGGCGACCAAGUCGCCGCGGCCCGAGGACGCUGCGGUGGCGGUGGAGGAUGGCGGGGACGACGACGUGUGCGUGGCCGAGAGGGACGCCGCGCCCGGGAAGGCCAUCUACAUCGUGUCGGACGGGACCGGGUGGACCGCGGAGCACGCGGUGAACGCCGCGCUCGGACAGUUCGAGCACUGCUUCGUCGACCGCGGCUGCGCUGUCAACACCCACCUCAUCUCCAUGGUAAAUAUGCCUCCGUAUACUUUCUUUUUUCUGGAAGUACGUUCAUGGUGUGGUACACUGCUAACUGCUGCUAACUGAUGACAGAGUGAGUAGUUAUCAUGGGAGAUGUCCUGUUUUGUCAUCUAACUAUCGAAUUAGCCAAUUAGGAGCCCUGAAAUUUUUGGACUGUAGAUGUAGAUUUUGAUGAUGCCACAGGUGUAACUGAAUAAUUUAGGCCUUGUUUAGUUCAUCCCAAAAUCCAAAAAAUUUUCAAGAUUCCCCGUCACAUCGAAUCUUGCGGGAGAUUACACAGUUUGUCUGUAAUUUGUGAGACGAAUCUUUUGAGCAUAGUUAGUCCUUGGUUGGACAAUAAUUGUGAAAUACAAACGAAAGUGCUACAGUGUCAAAAUCUAAAAAGUUUUUGGAUCUAAACAAGACCUUAAUGUGAAGUCUCAGAAAAAAAGAAUAAUUUAAUGUGAAAUGCUAAUUUGGAGAAAUGAAACUGACGAAAAGUCGGAUCUUGGAGGACAAAUCAAUGACUGCUAGUUUUAUGGAUGGAAUUUAACACCCUGGGAAUAUCACCCUCCUCUGUAGUGGUAUGUGCACAAGUGAUCUAUUUUCAGGUUGAUUAUAGCACAACUACUAUCAAUUACUGUGCUAUACUACAACUUGUCAGUUUGAAUGAUAAUUUAUUUGUAUACAGAAAUUUUAUUAGCUGCACAUCACUUUUCUAUCUGCGCUGGCUUGAAAAAUGUUAGGUGCACAUCACUUUUUAGUAAUAGGCUGCAUCUUUUGUAAGUAACAACUUCUGAUAAUGUUCUGUAGAUUAACGACAUGGAUCGAAUUCUUGAGGUAAUAAAGCAAGCAGCAAAGGAAGGGGCACUGGUUCUAUAUACCCUUGCUGAUCCUUCAAUGGCUGAAUCAGCUAAGAAGGCCUGCGAUUUCUGGGGUGUUCCGUCCACUGAUGUUCUUCGGCCUACAAUUGAAGCCAUUGCUUCUCAUAUUGGUGUUGCUCCAUCUGGAAUUCCACGAAGCUCUCCUAGUCGACAGGGUAAACUAACAGAGGACUACUUUCGACGGAUUGAUGCUAUUGAUUUUACCAUCAAACAAGAUGAUGGGGCUCUGCCACAGAACCUCAACCGUGCAGACAUUGUACUUGCUGGUGUUUCACGUACAGGGAAGACACCAUUGUCAAUAUAUCUAGCUCAAAAGGGAUACAAGGUAGCAAAUGUCC
rnacentral:lncRNA from 1 species